CGAAAAUCGAUAAUGUUUAAGGAAAAUAAAUGAUAGUUGAAGAGAAGAAAAAGAAAAGAGUUGUUAUUUAGCUCUUAUUCCACUUCAAUACAAGGUUUAGUUAGGAUUUUUCUUUACUUAUGAUUUUUCAAUAAUACACGGUUAAAAGCGCUAGCAACCAAAAACAGCUUUCAAACUGCUGACAUCCAAUAUAAGCCCAGAACCGGUCUGGUACUUGACAGAGUACCAAUCAACUGAAUAGAGUAAACAAACCAUAACAUAACCCAUCUCAACCCAAGAAGAACACACUCACUCAGACACUACUC
rnacentral:lncRNA from 1 species